GUGUGCAUGUCUGGGCUGGCCGGGGCUUACGUCCCUGCACUGGGGAGGAGGCUUCCGGAAGAGGUGUCUUCUAGGGGAAAAGGUGUGGGAAGGUAGGAAGAGAGUUUGGAGGUUUGUUUUGUCUUUAUUGAUUGGAAAGAAGAAAGAAGUUGAUGCUGAGUGUUUCCGAGAGAACAGGUAGGCAGGGAAUUUCAUGAUUCGACAUCCAAGGGUCCAGCCAAAGCUGAAGUUUGGAAAAUCCUCCAAACUUGGCUGCAGAAGCCAGCCAGAGAACACUGCUACUGACUGGCCGCAAGCUGAUUAUGUGGGAGUGGGCAUUGCUUUACUUAGCGGAGAAGGAGUGUUGUAGGCAACACACAAGUCUUUGAGUUCAGAGGCCCUGUUUCCAGUAGACUCACUUCCGCCUUCCAGGUUCCCAACUGAUUUUGCCCACUGCCCUUAUCCAGUCCAGAGCUGGCCUUCCGGGUGAGUGAAUCAGUUAGGAAUGAGUGACUGUGACGGGCCAGGCGUAGGGACCCACCGUCCCCCAGCCGAAGGGUGGGGUCUGUCGGGUCCAUCUGAGAGGAGCACAGCCUCGCUCGCCUUCUACUGAUGGCCAGGUAUUCCUGAGGCUCUUUAUACGCGCAGUGGCUCUGCCCGCCGAGCUGUGAGCUGGACAGGAGAAAGGCGUGCCCGUCAAUCUGCCCUGCAUGUUUUUCUGGCUUCUAACCAAAGCACACUGCUCUUAAAGAGUUAAAGAAGGGCAAAUGGCCACCGUUCUCGAAUUUUGAACUUGUUCUCUGCAACAGGCUCCCUUUGAAUCCAGGACACAGCCUGGGGGUGGGCGUCCCUGCUGGUUACUGAGGUCUGCAGAAGGUGACUGGUGAGCAGGACAGAUGUGCGUGCCCGUCACCGCGGGCUGCGUGGUUGGGCGUGAACUGGUGGGUGUUGCCGAGGCUGCAGAACUGCAGGAGAUUCCACGUGGCAUCCACACAGCCCUGCCCAGCGUCUAGUGGGCUCCAUGGGUCCAGGUUUUUCCCUCUCCCCCUCAGCAGAGAAACUGGAGAGAUGGACAUUACGUGCAGUGCAGUCAGUGUGAGUGCUAGAAUAUUCCCAGGUUCAAUGGUGGUGCUAAACUAUCUCGUUUCUGAUAUUUUUAAUGGUGGGCUUUUUAAAUCUCCUCACAAACACGCAGUGUCGUGGGGAAGAGACCCAGCCCCUUGGCCCACCGUUUUCCAGGUGUCCUUUAUCACUUUGACGGGACUCUUUGGUCUGCAGAAGUGCUCUGUCUUGGCAUGCCUCUAGACUGUAACAUUUGGGUUGUUCUGUUUUGUAUUUGGUUUAUGUUUACAUGCAUCUUGUAUUUCCCUGAAAACUAAAUAAAGUUUUUGGCCUUUUUAACUGAACAGAAUCACCUAAUUCUCCUGGACAUCGGAAAACCCCUCACCUGGGCGUUCAUUAUCCAAAAUGCGGCACAGACUCCAGAUUCCCAGGGCCCUCCCCAAGGACAUGGGAGGGGGAGGUGCAUUCCCACUACUGCGGGCCCAACCGGCAUCCCAAGGCCAGGUCAUGGUCCAGUGCCCAACUCUAGCCUUGCCUGUGAUUCCCACACCUUCUGCCGGCUGCCCACCUACAGAUGACCUCCCGCCUGGCCUUCUCACGCACCGGACAGCUUUUGGGCUGGUACGAAAUCACCUUUAUUCACGUCACAGCGACCCCAGUUCACAAUCAACAACCCCAGCACUGAUAGCACGGGUGGCGGCUGCUUCUCUCGGCCUCGGGCCACACAGCCCCUGCGCUGCCAACCUUCCUUCCCUCGCGGACACGCUGACUGGGGCCACGCUCAGGAGUGGCACGGCGUCUUCCCAGCCUCCCGUGAGGCUGGCACAUGCAGAGGCCCGGCCCAGAGCCCCAUCACAGCGCACCACACCCCUUGGCAGUCCCUGCCCAAGUGCUCCCAGAGCCACCCCACAGUCUGUCCCGCCCCCAGACAGCCAUGUUGCACGGGGGCUGAGGCUGAAGGUGCCCCCGUCCAGGUGAGCAGCUGGACUAGAAGCCCACACCCUGCCUGCCCCGGGAGGGGCUGGGAAGGCAGGGCCGGCAGGGCUGAGGUGGUAACAGAAGAGCAUGCUGGGAGCCAGGCACAGCCCACACCUCCUCCCAGGACACAGAGCCCUACUCCAGAGUCCUCCCUGCCCUUGCGUGACAGGAGUCCCCAGGGUGUGCUUCAUGGCUCUGGGUGACCCACCAGCCCCAGUUCCCAGGAGACUCGGCCUGCUUCUCUGAGAAAUGGACACGAUUUGCUGGGAGGCCUCCCUCCCGGCUCCCUUAGGCUAGAGCACCAGCCCAUAGGUAGCAGGUCUGGCCUCAGCUCCACGGCCAGGGUGGGGAGACUGUGGGUGAUAGCCACCUCUGCUGCCACCUUCACCAGCAUUUCUGGGGCCCGGCGGGUGGGAACUCACCCUCAAACAACAAAGCCCACAAGCCAAAUAAAUAAAUAAAUUAAAAUAUGGAGAAGGGCUGGUUGUAGCCCAGAGAAGCCCUGCCCCACCCUGGCCCCUCUCGGCCGCUCGUCUGCCUCUGCAAAGGGACAGAGGCCUGAGGGGCAGCCACUGACCCGCUCUCAGAGGCCCUGGCCGCCCACAGUGGCCCCAGCUCCAUCGAAGGGCAGCCUGGGCAACAGCACCCAGCAAGAUGAUCAGGGCAGAAGCUGGAGGCCAGGAGGGGUCUCCCCCAGACCCAGGGCCUCAGCAGACUGCCCACCACCCAUCGCAGGAGGCUCGGCUGCCCAGGGUGAGAGAAGUCUGCUGCCAUCUUACCCGCAGUGGCCAGGCCCAAUGGGUGGGGAAGACAGGAGGUCAGAGGCAGGGCAGGCAAAGGUCAGAGGGUGAGACAGCAACUCGGGAGCUGCCCACCAGGGCUGCUCUUGAGCACACUGUGUACUGUGCAAGGACAGCUGGCUGAGGGGGCCGAU